rnacentral:rRNA from 1 species
UACGUAGGGUGCAAGCGUUGUCCGGAAUUAUUGGGCGUAAAGGGCUCGUAGGCGGUUUGUCGCGUCGGGUGUGAAAACUCAGGGCUUAACCCUGAGCCUGCUUCCGAUACGGGCAGACUAGAGGUAUGCAGGGGAGAACGGAAUUCCUGGUGUAGCGGUGAAAUGCGUAGAUAUCUGGAGGAACACCGGUGGCGAAGGCGGCAUCCUGGACCGGCAUUGACGCUGAGGCGCGAAAGCUAGGGGAGCAAACGGG